rfam:Ectocarpus siliculosus strain Ec 32, whole genome shotgun sequence assembly, chromosome LG06
GCUCCUAUAGCUCAGUUGGUUAGAGCGUGUGCUUAGUAAGCACAAGGUCCGUGGUUCAAAUCCGCGUGGGAGCU